GUAGGUGGCAAGCGUUGUCCGGAAUUAUUGGGCGUAAAGCGCGCGCAGGCGGUCCUUUAAGUCUGAUGUGAAAGCCCACGGCUCAACCGUGGAGGGUCAUUGGAAACUGGGGGACUUGAGUACAGAAGAGGAAAGCGGAAUUCCAAGUGUAGCGGUGAAAUGCGUAGAGAUUUGGAGGAACACCAGUGGCGAAGGCGGCUUUCUGGUCUGUAACUGACGCUGAGGCGCGAAAGCGUGGGGAGCAAACAGGAUUAGAUACCCUGGUAGUCCACGCCGUAAACGAUGAGUGCUAAGUGUUAGGGGGUUUCCCGCCCCCCUUAGUGCUGCAGCUAACGCAUUAAGCACUCCGCCUGGGGAGUACGGCCGUAAGGCUG
rnacentral:rRNA from 1 species